CGGGCUUUCUGCAGCUCCGGUGUUGCGACAGCGUGAGUGUGUGAGUGUGUGAGUUCGUGAGCGUGUGUGUUGGGGUAGAGGAUGAGGCUGAGGAUGAGGACGCGCAGAGGAACGCUGUUAAUGUGUUAGAAAAGAUGAUGAGGAGCCCGACAUCAGCUGCUCAACACUGCACACCGCGGAGACGCUCACCUUCUACAGGUACGAGGAAGAAUCCGUGGUGAGGUGUUAUGCGCUGAGGGUUCGAACAUGCACACGGGAAAAUCGGAAGUGCGCAUCCGCUCGAAGUGCGCCGCGCUCUUGGGAAUGCUCGGUCACCAUCACGGGUUUGCCGACGUCGCCGAUCUCACGGAUCUGUGCUGGAAACAGGACGAGCGCGUGGAGCGCCUACAGGACGCCGACUUCCUCCGUGCGAAAACGGCGGCGGCCCAGGAGAAGGCGCAGCCGAUUAAAUCUCACACGGCGAGCUUCUGCAUGGCUCCAGGACAAGGACAAGCGUUGAUGUGGCUGUGCGGUGUGAGUGUGAUGUUAAACCUCACCGGUGAAGUCAGAGUUUGUGGUUAAAUGCUGGAGGAAAACUAACCGCGUGUUCAGCCGGUUCACGAGGAGAUUGACCGCGAGCGGUCUACGCGCGUGACUCCGAGAGCCGAGGUUCACGACUCGCCGCAUCGGUACGGCAGACCCCGAGAACGUUCGGUCGCUAAUCGUCAUCGCGACGUCGUCUUGCGUCGAGCGGACGCCACGCGGAGUCCGCGGUCUGAGGAGGUGCGGGAUGUUUAUCACUGCGGGAUCGCUCGCUUCGGGGACGGAGAGAAAGUUC
ensembl:lncRNA